CCUACGGGAGGCAGCAGUGAGGAAUAUUGGACAAUGGGCGCAAGCCUGAUCCAGCCAUGCCGCGUGCAGGAAGAAGCAUCUAUGGUGUGUAAACUGCUUUUGUACAGGAAGAAACACUCCCUCGUGAGGGAGCUUGACGGUACUGUAAGAAUAAGGACCGGCUAACUCCGUGCCAGCAGCCGCGGUAAUACGGAGGGUCCGAGCGUUAUCCGGAAUCAUUGGGUUUAAAGGGCCCGUAGGCGGUUUAAUAAGUCAGUGGUGAAAUCUGGUCGCUCAACGAUCAAACGGCCAUUGAUACUGUUAGACUUGAAUUAUAAGGAAGUAACUAGAAUAUGUAGUGUAGCGGUGAAAUGCUUAGAUAUUACAUGGAAUACCAAUUGCGAAGGCAGGUUACUACUUAUGGAUUGACGCUGAUGGACGAAAGCGUGGGGAGCGAACAGGAUUAGAUACCCUGGUAGUCCACGCCGUAAACGAUGGAUACUAGCUGUUCGGAGCAAUCUGAGUGGCUAAGCGAAAGUGAUAAGUAUCCCACCUGGGGAGUACGUUCGCAAGAAUGAAACUUAAAUGAAUUGACGG
rnacentral:rRNA from 1 species